UGGCUCAGAGGGUAAAGCACCUGCCUGCAAUGCAGGUAGACCUGGGUUCGAUCCUCUG
rnacentral:tRNA from 1 species